rnacentral:lncRNA from 1 species
UGGACAAGGAAAAACAUGCAUAUGGUGGAGAAAAGUAAUAAAAGACUAUUUGUCUAUAGGACAGCAAGCAGUCUCAGCAUGUAGGCAACUUAACCCUUGUGAAAUUAUUUUGGGAGAGCCAUCUGUAGAAGCCUUGUGAUACACAUGUACUGAAAUCCUGUGUAAAUACCAAGACUUCAGUGCAGCCCAGCUAUUUGGACAAUAAAUCUUACUGGAACACCUUUUUUUGUCCUGUAACAACUCAGACAAUGAGUAGUACUAGGAUUUGCUGGCAGCUGCUGAGGACAAGGUCUGUUGUACUACCAACAUGUGGUUAAUUCAUGUCAGGUCUCUGCACAAGGACUGUUAAUUCAAAUUCAUCACAGAAGCCUGAAAGUGUAUUUAUAUUCAAAUGUACUCAUUGUUUUGGAACUAUUUGCUCUGGAUGGGAUCGUUGCCUAUGAGAGCUUAAGACUUACUCCCUAUAUCCGUUUAUACCAUGUUCCAGUAGAUUACGGCGGCAUCCAAAGGAAGAACAAAUGGAAGUGAGAUUUUAGGGUCACAACAGAUAAAUGCCCUUGAAAGCACAGCUCUGAUUCCAUGGAAAGAGUGAAACAGGCAGGCUGAGUUUUGUCUGGUGCAGCAGUGAGUUCCUGUUCCAGCCUGAGGAGAUCGGUUCCCAAAACGUCCCUGAUGACCUGUGAAGCUUCUCUGUCAGUGGAAACAACAAGAAGGGGCACUUGGUUGAGGAAGAAAGUAUGGGCUAAUCAAAACAAGAUCAAGAACAAAGACCCAAGAAGUACAAGAGGAAGGAAGAAGAAAUUUAGUCCUUAACAAUGAGCACAGGUACAAUUGAUCUUCACUGGCUUUACCCAUCUGAAAGCUCAACAUCUGGUAUAAAAUAACUAUUACUGCUCUACCUUUACUCAGUGGAG